rnacentral:rRNA from 1 species
UACGGAGGUGCAAGCGUUAUCCGGAUUCACUGGGUUUAAAGGGUGCGUAGGCGGGCAGGUAAGUCAGUGGUGAAAUCAUUCGAGCUUAACUCGGAACUGCCGUUGAUACUAUCUGUCUUGAAUAUUCGUUGAGGGUGAGCGGAAUAUGUCAUGUAGCGGUGAAAUGCUUAGAUAUGACAUAGAACACCGAUUGCGAAGGCAGCUCACUAACCGAUCAUUGACGCUGAGGCACGAAAGCGUGGGGAUCAAACAGG